UAAAAGUAAAAGGGAUAGGAUCAUUCCUCUUCCGCCGCUGUCCUCUUCCCUUAAUAAUCACAAGGGAUCGGUGUCUUUCAUGGGAGCAAAGGAAAGUGAAACUCCUGUGACUUCAAGGAGUGGACACAGGUUCAUGCCACAUCCUGUAGGAUGUUAGAAUGAGCUGCUUAGAACACCAAGAUGGGAAGCUGGUCUUGCCCUGAAAAGCUGGCAAGUUAUAUCCACCAGUAAAAAUAUUUGUAGACCACAGAGCACAGGGCAGCCUCCAAGGAAGACAACAUGCCUCAAACCACUGGAGGACUCUACCACUGCAGGCAGCCUCUGUGGAAGAUGAGGAGAGAUUCCAGACCAAGACAGGGCUGAGAGCUGUUCUGACUUGGAAAAUGCUUACAGACUCACGAUGAGAAUUACGAUAGCACUGGAAUGUGCUAUCAUCAGUGGAGAAAGUCAACAAAUUAAGGACUACUUGAUUUCCCUUGUGAAUUCUGCUAUCAUUUAUGUGAGAUGUAACUAAUUCAUUGUCGAAAAUCUAUGCAGUGGAACAAGUAAAACUUGUAUUACACUGUGCUUUCCACAGGAUAGGGGAAUCUCAGCUUCAUGCAGGGUUUUGUUUUGGUUUGGUUUUGUGUUUCUGAGAAUCAAAGUGUACUCCUGAGUUUUUAAGUAUUAUUUGUACUGUGAAACUAACCUUCAUAGCAACAACAAUAAUCAAUAGUUUAUUUUAUGUAUGAAUAUAUUUAUCACCAUUCUUCCUAGAAUAUCCAAAAGGACUUGAUAAACAGAUGUAUUUAUAUUCUAUGUUCCAUGUUAGAGCUGCUGUUCACCUGAGACACAUCACUAUGCUUUGCUCUGCAGAUGGACAAAGGUACCAACUGACAAAAAGGAUGGAGAAAGGAUACUUGUAGACCUAGCUCCUACUUAUCACUCACUUGCCCUGUGGC